rnacentral:lncRNA from 1 species
AUCAAGAGAAGGUGAAUCAAUUCUUCUUCGUUAUUGAUUUUAUUUUAUUUUUCUCAUAGCUAAAAUCAAAAUUAUUAUUUGCUUUUAGAUCCUUUGACGAUGGAUAAUAACCCUGAUAAAAAAUUCAGUCUCCUCUUACUGCACCAUUGGAGUGGUAAGCUCUUUAAAUUUCCAUUAUAAUCAAUCAAUAUUCUAUGCAUGAGAUAGAUUUGUUAAAGACAACAACUCCCAUUAAUUUGUUCAGUAAGACAUAAAUCUCACUCCAGUUGUAGAAACUUGAUGUCUCUCUUGCUUGGCAGAUGCAUCUUGCACUUAGUGCUACUUUCUUUGCGGGAAUUACUCAAUUUGCACUUUUGGACUUUUAAAGGUCUUUUUGGCAUCAAAGUAAGAUUUAAUAUUAGUGAAAGUAACUAAUGAUAUAAUGAUUAUGUGUCAUGGCAGAUUUAACCUUAGCAUUGCCUGUUGUGAAAGUAGAUCCACAUUUGAACGUUUUUGCAUUUGUAUCACUGUGUUUGUGAGCUGUUACCGAUCCGUCAUUAUAUCAAUAGUUAAAUUUACUUUGAAAUUGAAUGACCCUUUUUUGCUUAUGGCUGGUAUUAGCAGAGUGAAAUUGAACCUUACUCAUUUAUGGAUAUGGUAUAUAAUGGUUUAUAUCUUUUAAAUUAGGCCUGAAAAAAUUCUAUCAUUAUUAUUUACAUGUAUUAUUUGGUUACUGAUAGAUUAGAUGGUUUUGUCAACUAAUUUAUUCAUUUUUUAUGCCCACUUUAUAACUAACUAUAUCAUUGUACUUAGUUCGAUACUCGGUUCCUUUUCUGUAGUGUUGAGUUAGUUCUAUACCCGAUUCUUGUUGUUACCUUUCUUAUGGAAAUUUUUAUUAUUCAUAUUCAAGCAUAUAUACUGAGUAUUUAUUCAUAUUGGAUGUUUUAUGCAAUCCCAGGUAAGUAACUAAAUGCAUAACCUUAUGCUUAGAUUGUUAUCUGGUUCAUAUUGGAUGUAGAGUGAUGCACAAAUUUUCUCCACUGCUUAUUGCUAUCUGGUUCUAUUUUUGCAUUUGCUAGCAUCGCAUAUUAGCAUCAAAUUUUGGCCUCAUGUGUCUAAGUGGUUGAUAAGUAAAGUGGGCAUUUUUAUGUAAUUAAAUUUAUAUACAUCGAAUCAAGAAAUAAUGUAAUAUAAUAUAUUACUAUCCACGUUUACUCUUUUAAUUGAGAGUUACCCUUCCACUACUGAAAUAACGGACGUUAUAAAAAUGAGAAUUUUAGAACAAUGUCGUCCACUACUUAACGGAAAUUAUAAAGAUAUGGUGUUUUUGGGUGAUGUCCACUACUUAAGUAUCUAACUUAUUUUGAGAAGGACUUCCUAGAAAUUGAAUUAUAAGAAUACCUAACAAAUACUAGUGAAGACAUAAUUGCUACUCAAAGAGCCCAAGACUUCUAUACUGGGUGGUAAGUAAUUUGUGUAGUUAACUACCAUGACAUUUGUGUAUAUUGUUUUAAUUUAAUUUAGAAAGUGAAAAGAAGUUAAACUAACAAAAGCACAAAUUAGCUUUAAUUAUCUAUUCACCUCUUUGUUUGCAUGAUUCCCCUGUUAGCCAGUAUAUGUAGGGAUCAUUCUUUACUUUUGUAACACCCUGCAUAAAAAGGCUAUAGAAUGUACCAUAAACAUGCAAAAAGUUUAUGCUUUUCUUACAGGUUAAUGUUGUUUGUAUGAACAGGUUAGUGAUGCUAGCUAGUGCCUAAUCUAGAUCUAGUAAUGUAAACUUUUAUAAGUUUCUGGUUCCAAGCUAUGGCUUUUCAAGUUGACAACUUGAUGCAGCUUUUGAGAAUAUGAAGCAUGUUGGAAUAUGAUCCUCAACAAAAUUGUGCAUGUUGUUUCAAAGCCAGUGGUUCCUAGAUUCAUGAAGAGGCAAGGUAUUGAAAUAUGUCACUACAUAAUCUAAUUAUGCUUGUAAUGUGUAAACCCUACUAAUCCAUAUAUCACAAAUCCUAAUUUAAAUAUGAUCAUUUAUGUAAGAUUCAGUAUAUUGUAAUUUUAUUAAGUUUUUUAUUCUUGAUGGUUAUGUGUAUGUUGUAUUAAAGUAUGGCUGCAAGUUAUUUUUGAGAUUGAACAAGUUUGAACAUAGUCAAUUGACAUCGAUCAAUUUACUCUUGCUAGUAGUACCUUGUUAUUUUUAGUUUCUUACUAAAUAUUUUAUUACUCUAAUUGUGCAUUAUGACUUUUUGUGCUGGAUGUGUUAUUCCUAUAUUGUCGUAUUAGAUGCAAUAAUGG